CCAUUCUCUCAUUCUCCUUCGUCCACGUCAGAUAAUAGUGUUACCAGACAUCAACACGUGUCCUCUUUCUUUAAAACUUUGCGUUUCAUUUAAUCAGAGUUAUUCGAGGUUUACUUUGUUGGGCUUCGUCUACACUUAUUUAAGCCCAUAUAAACCGUGGUUGUAAUUAAACGACGCAUUUUAUAUUAGAGCUUGCGCGUCUCCAUCCGUCCUAUCUCUGCGCGUCUCCGUCUGCUCAUAGCGCAACUGAUCUUCCAUUUUCUUCCUUCCGAUACGAGAUGAUACCAGUAACCGCUUUCCCUCAUAAAGCCCUCCAUUAAUCGACCACCCAUGAUCUAUAUUCAAUGCAAUUCUUAAGACUGGAAAGCCAUGGACGUUCUACUAUAUAUAUACUGGCCGCUCAUCCUCCACCGUUGAAGUUUGCCUGCUCCGUUUCUGAGAGGCCAAUAGGGAUCAGAAUUAAUUGAUUCAUUCUGGGAUGGAAUGGUCAAAGACACACAGUAGCGUGUUCCAUCCACGACAGUCUGAAACAUGGAGUCAUUCCAUUAUUCAACUUCAAAGUCUCUUACAUCACAGCUUCCUCUCUCGGUGUUCCGCAACAGGUUUUGGUCGUUCCUUUACUUUCUCCGUGGAAGUUGGUGUCUUAAUAGCGUUCGCACGGUCAUCUCGCUGUCAAUCGAAAGAUGUUCAAUGUCUCUUGGAUUUUGGACGGUGAUGGGUAUUGUUCUAUUUCGGUGUAACUUCUAACCCGAGGCUGAGAAUUUCUAAAGGAGGUCGCUUUUGUUGAUCAAAAACUCAUUACCGUAGAAUCUCAAGAUUGUGACUUUAAAUGGGUUUAGGUGUUUUUUAGUUAAUGGCUCCUUUAGGAUAUAUAAAGUUUGCUACUUUGAUUUGAUGAUAGCCGUCAAUGGGCAGUUUCCAGAACCUCUGUUUAUGCUACGGCCAACUACAAUGUUGUUGUUAGAGUCUACAUUGGAUGAGCCUCUUCUUUUGACUUGGUGAGUCGAAGAGCUUUCUUCCUAUACCAACUGAUCAAUUAUCACUAAAAUGUAUGGUUCUCAUUUGCUAUGUGACUACUAAUAUGCUUCCUGAGUUCUUUUAAUUUGUCUUUUAGAAUAGGCAUGGGCCACCUGGCAUCCAAAUGUGGUGUAACUUGUGGCAAGACGGUUCUCUUGGCACAGACUUUCCUAUUCCUCUUAGAUGGAACUUUACUUACCAGGUUUAGGUGGAAGAUCAAAUUGGAAGUUUCUUCUACUCUCCCUGACUCAACUUUCAGAGAGCAUAUGGUAAUUUUGGUCAUGUUGUGAUUAGUAACCGGAACAUUAAUCUUAUGAUAUCCCCACAGCCUGACGGCGAAAUGGUACACUCAGGACCAGAAAAGAAUACAUGACUAUGGAAAAGAACUUGGGAUGCCGGUUGGAGUCUCAUCAUUGGAAAGGGUCUUUACAAGUACAACAGUAGUGUAUCUGUUUGACUAGGAGUUUUUAUAUCACUUUGUCUCAUGAGAUGGUAGACUCUCUAAUAUGACUUUCCCUUUGGAGAAACCCUUCAAAUGUUGAAGCUCGCGUUGUUUACUUUCUCUACAGUUCUAGAUUUUAAUACAAUUUAAUUGUAACAAUAAUUUUGUUUCGACUAGAUUCAUAUACAUUACUUUCUGCCAAUUUUCUUUUCUCUAUAUUUUGACACCAUAGAAGUAAAUAGUAAAUUUGUGCACUUGCAAGAACAAUCAUAGUUGUUACUCUAAUUAGUCACAUAACUUACUAAAAAUAUUCCUGGUUGUGAAUUUUAUUACAUACAAUACAUGUGUUUGUAGAUGGCCUGAACUUGACGUAUCAGCGAGUGUUAGUAAUACAUGUGUUUGUAGAUAGCCUGAACUUGAGGUAUCGGCGAGUGUUAGUGUGUUACUAUAAACUGCAGACUUUUGUAGAUUGAGUCUCUAAGCUUCUCCAGGGUUAGUCUGAUUGCUAAAGUUAUGAAUUUUCAUUCUUCAAGUACAAACUUGCAUGAGUACUUGCAAUGUUAAUGGUGAGAAUGAGAUUACAACAAAGUUUG